rnacentral:tRNA from 1 species
UUAAAAGAAAACAUAAAGUUUUUCAACAGGGUAUGAACCUAUUAGCUUGACAUAGCCUAUCUUUUA